rnacentral:rRNA from 1 species
ACAUGCAAGUCGAACGAAGCACCCUCAGUCCGUGGAAGGGAGUAGCUGCUACAAACGGACACACCCGAGGGUGACUGAGUGGCGGACGGGUGAGUAACGCGUGGGUAACCCUGCCCCAUAGAGGGGGACAACAGUUAGAAAUGACUGCUAAUACCGCAUAGUAAGAUGGAUCCGCAUGCUUCUAUCUUGAAAGCUUUUGCGCUAUGGGAUGGACCCGCGUCUGAUUAGCUAGUUGGUGAGGUAACGGCCCACCAAGGCGACGAUCAGUAGCCGGCUUGAGAGAGUGAACGGCCACAUUGGGACUGAGACACGGCCCAAACUCCUACGGGAGGCAGCAGUGGGGAAUAUUGCACAAUGGGCGAAAGCCUGAUGCAGCGAACCGCCGCGUGAGCGAAGAAGUAUUUCGGUAUGUAAAGCUCUAUCAGCAGGGAAGAUAAUGACGGUACCUGACUAAGAAGCACCGGCUAAAUACGUGCCAGCCGCAGC